AGUUCUUCUUUACUUGAACUUCAAAGGGUAAUCUAGAAAAAAAUGAGUCACUUUUAUUUUCAUAAUUAAUCGAUUUAUAUGCUAAAAGACCAUAUCCAUAACAUUUUUUAAAAUUAUCUUUUUCGUUUGAUAAUGAAUAGAGUUCCGAAUCAUUUUCUUUUUUGUAAUGAAGUAAUUGGUCUUUUUCAUAUGAAUUCCAUUUGUUUAAGUUUCUAUU
rnacentral:misc_RNA from 1 species